rnacentral:rRNA from 1 species
UACAGGGGGUGCAAACGUUGCUCGGAAUCAUUGGGCGUAAAGCGCACGUAGGCGGUUCGUUAUGUCGGAUGUGAAAGCCCUUGGCUUAACCGAGGAAGUGCAUCCGAAACUGGCGAGCUAGAGUACGAAAGAGGAUCGCGGAAUUCCCGGUGUAGAGGUGAAAUUCGUAGAUAUCAGGAGGAACACCGGUGGCGAAGGCGGGUCUCUGGGCCGUAACUGACGCUGAGGAGCGAAAGCGUGGGGAGCGAACAGG